AGGUGGUGCCAGGGAACAGGGAUGUCACAGGCAAGCACAACAUAUUUUCUCACUGGCGUUUCUGGCUCUGUCACAGAGGAAAUGGGAACAAAGUGUCACCCCAGCCUGCUCCAGUGACUGAUGUCAGACUAGGGCAAUGUGGGCAGACACAGAGGGAAGACGGCUGCGCGAAGACAGAGGCCGAGAUGGGAGUGAGGCGGGCGCAAGCCAGGAAACACCAAGGAUUGCAGGCAACAAAAGACUCUCAACCACAGACAGCUCCAGUCCAAGCUGAAGUCCAGGACCACGCUGGAAGGCUGCACACCCUUGGAAGGCACCCAAGGAAGAGAGGCAGGCAUCUGCUGAAGCCUGAAGCCCAAAACUGAUCACAGCCACCUGUGGGAAUGCGACCAACUGUGGCCUGUGCCAAACAGUGUGUGACUCAUUCUGCCAAAGAGCGAGGAGGCGGGGAUGUGGGGCGAGGGGAUACCUCCUUUUCACUGCCUUUGGCCACAUUUCCCUCAAAUGCCAGCAGGUGGAGAUAUUGAUCUCUUCCUGUAUUUGAAUAAGGGCCCUGCAGCUCAGCACGCCUAUGACUGGGAGCCCCCGAGGAUACCAGCACCCAGGCACUGUGGUAAGUACUUCAGGUGCACGAUCUCAUUUAGCAUUUGGGACAGCCUUGGGAAGUAGCUAUUACUGCUCUCCCUAUUUUAUCCACGGGGAAACUGAUGCAUGGAGAGAUGAAGAGACUUGCUCAAGGUCACACAGUCAGUCUGAUGCAAAGCCAGGGUUUUGUCCUGUGCCAGAAGCUGUGCUCCUACUCCCUGCUCCCCAGACGCUCUGCCAGGCAGCAUGCUGGGCAGAGCCUAGGACCGGGACCCAGGAGGCCAUGCCCUGGUCAGGUGAGGCAAGCUUGACCAGUGCUUCGGGUAAAGCAGCCAGGCCUGGGGGCCGAGAAGGGGUGCAUGUGUAGAACCAGUUUCUCCAAGAGAGGGUCCCUAAACUGGGUUCAGGUUGCAAGGGGGGCAAGAGUUAUGAGGAGCUGACCUUUGCACUGUAGCUAAGGGAAACAGGGCAGGGCAGGGGGUGGGGAGAGGGUAGCCUCGAUAGGUCUGUGCCUGGGGACAAGGCUGUGACAUUCUCCUCUUCCACUCUGCCACAAACCAGCCUUUUCUGAAGUGCUGCAGGACCCUGAGUUUGAUUGAGUCAUUGUUCCUCACGGGCUGGGCUUCUCAGACACCAGGCAGAUAGGAGCUGGGCCUGGGAGUACUGAUGGUGGCUGCUUGGUCCAGUGCAGCACCUAACGUGGUAGGGUCAGAGAAGACGGCCCUCCAGGGUCAGGAUCAGCCAGCAGCUUUCCUGGAAGCUGCCUGGGUGAGCUCCAAAUAUUGAGUGACCAGAAUUGGAGGAAAGAACUAUCAGAAGCAUCAAGCUGAGCCUCCUGUUGGGAGCUUGCCCCGGACCCUGAAUCUCUAGCCUUUAUUUGUUAUGGCAACCUGAGCAAACUUAAAAAGCCACCUUGCAAUGACAACCAUAUGAUGGGGAUUAAACAUCGAAAGGAAUUUUGUGGAAUAAAUGUCAAAGUGCCUUUUAAAUCUAUAAUACAGCACAA